rnacentral:rRNA from 1 species
GACGAACGCUGGCGGCGUGCCUAAUACAUGCAAGUCGAACGAGUGGCGGACGGGUGAGUAAUGUCUGGGAAACUGCCUGAUGGAGGGGGAUAACUACUGGAAACGUUAUCUCAUACCGCAUACCAUCAGAUGUGCCCAGAUGGGAUUAGCUUUGUGGUGGGGUAAAGGCUAACCAAGGCGACGAUCCCUAGCUGGUCUGAGAGGAUGACCAGCCACACUGGAACUGAGACACGGUCCAGACUCCUACGGGAGGCAGCAGUGGGGAAUAUUGCACAAUGGGCGAAAGCCUGAUGCAGCCAUGCCGCGUGUAUGAAGAAGGCCUUCGGGUUGUAAAGUACUUUCAGCGGGGAGGCGUUACCCGCAGAAGAAGCACCGGCUAACUCCGUGCCAGCAGCCGCGGUAAUAC